rnacentral:rRNA from 1 species
GAUGAACGCUGGCGGCGUGCCUAAUACAUGCAAGUCGAGCGAACAGACGAGGAGCUUGCUCCUCUGACGUUAGCGGCGGACGGGUGAGUAACACGUGGAUAACCUACCUAUAAGACUGGGAUAACUUCGGGAAACCGGAGCUAAUACCGGAUAAUAUAUUGAACCGCAUGGUUCAAUAGUGAAAGACGGUUUUGCUGUCACUUAUAGAUGGAUCCGCGCCGCAUUAGCUAGUUGGUAAGGUAACGGCUUACCAAGGCAACGAUGCGUAGCCGACCUGAGAGGGUGAUCGGCCACAAUGGAACGGAGACACGGUCCAGACUCCUACGGGAGGCAGCAGUAGGGAAUCUUCCGCAAUGGGCGAAAGCCUGACGGAGCAACGCCGCGUGAGUGAUGAAGGUCUUCGGAUCGUAAAACUCUGUUAUUAGGGAAGAACAAAUGUGUAAGUAACUAUGCACGUCUUGACGGUACCUAAUCAGAAAGCCACGGCUAACUACGUG